rnacentral:rRNA from 1 species
UCGAGCGGCAGCACAAGUGAGUUUUACUCAUGAGGUGGCGAGCGACGGACGGGUGAGUAAUGCCCAGGGAUCUGCCCAGUCGUGGGGGAUAACAGUUGGAAACGACUGCUAAUACCGCAUACGCCCUACGGGGGAAAGGAGGGGACCUUCGGGCCUUCCGCGAUUGGAUAAACCUAGGUGGGAUUAGCUAGUUGGUGAGGUAAUGGCUCACCAAGGCGACGAUCCCUAGCUGUUCUGAGAGGAUGAUCAGCCACACUGGAACUGAGACACGGUCCAGACUCCUACGGGAGGCAGCAGUGGGGAAUAUUGGACAAUGGGCGCAAGCCUGAUCCAGCCAUACCGCGUGGGUGAAGAAGGCCUUCGGGUUGUAAAGCCCUUUUGUUGGGAAAGAAAUCCAGCCGGCUAAUACCUGGUUGGGAUGACGGUACCCAAAGAAUAAGCACCGGCUAACUUCGUGCCAGCAGCCGCGGUAAU